CAGGCUGGAUGAAUGCAACAGUCCUAAUGAUAAUCAGAAGCUUCAGGUAACACCAAGAGCUUGUUAAGGCCCAAGGGACUCAUUUAUACAUUUGAAGACACUUCAAACUAUGGCUGAAGGAUGGUUUGAGGGGAAGAAGUUGGUGAAGAUGGAAUGAUUGCAAAUAAAAGAGAAGGGCCCAUGAAUGGAGCGAGAAUCCCGGGAAGAUAGGAGUCAAUAAUUAACAACUACACCACCACCUGCAACAUCGCCAGAACUGCCAGAAGAACCCUACAGAAAUG